GCGGGUGUGAUGGAAUCGGUAGACAUAGCAGACUUAAAAUCUGCCGGUAGCAAUACCGUGGCGGUUCAAGUCCGCCCACCCGCACCA
rnacentral:tRNA from 1 species